rnacentral:lncRNA from 1 species
AAGGAAGUCAUAUUUUCCUAUAUUAUGCUACAUGACAUUGUCAAAGAAAAAGAAGGAAAAGAUACAAUAAAGAAAAGAAGGCAGAGGAGUAGGAAGAACGAUGAGCAGGAGAAAAUGAAGUUAUGAGCAAGCAAGAAUUAAAAUGCUUUCUUCUCAGCGGCGGACUUGGCCCAAUGGUUGGGGCAACCGUCUACCACAUGGGAAAUCCGCAGUUCAAACCCCAGGCCUUCUUGACCCAUGUGGAGCUCGCCCAUGCGCAGUGCUGCUGUGCGCAAGGAGUGCCGAGCCAACGCAGGGGAGCCCCACGGGCAGGGAGUACGCCCUGUAGGGAGAGCCGCCCAGCGUGAAGGAAGGUGCAGCCUGCCCAGAAAUGGCACCGCACACACAGAGAACUGAUACAACAAGAUGACAUAAUAAGAAGAAACACAGAUUCCCAUGCCACUGACAAUAACAGAAGUGGACAAAGAAGAUGCAGCAAAUAGACACAGAGAACAG